AGAGAGGACACGUCACGCAGAGAUACCACUGGAAAUGCGGCAGAGAGAUGGAGCAAAGGAAGGGAACCUUUGGAGAUGGUUUGAGAGGGAUGAUGAUCCAAAAUUGAAGUUUACCUAUGGAUGGCUUAAGAAUAAAAAAUGUGUGGGAAAAAUAAAGUUUUGAAG